AACGGCCAUACCAUGCUGAAUAAACCGGUUCCCGUUAGAUCACCGGAGUCAAGCAUCAUUGGGCGCGGUCAGUACUUGGGUGGGUGACCACCUGGGAACACCGCGUGCCGUU
rnacentral:rRNA from 1 species